rnacentral:rRNA from 1 species
CAGUAGCCGCGGGAAUACGAAGGGGGCUAGCGUUGCUCGGAAUCACUGGGCGUAAAGGGCGCGUAGGCGGACUUUUAAGUCGGAGGUGAAAGCCCAGGGCUCGACCCUGGAAUUGCCUUCGAUACUGGGAGUCUUGAGUUCGGAAGAGGUUGGUGGAACUGCGAGUGUAGAGGUGAAAUUCGUAGAUAUUCGCAAGAACACCAGUGGCGAAGGCGGCCAACUGGUCCGAUACUGACGCUGAGGCGCGAAAGCGUGGGGAGCAAACAGGAUUAGAUACCCCAGUAGUCCCUGUCUCUUAUAC